UUGUGUGUAGUGACUGUGUGUGUCAGUAUGUAUCUGUGAAUGUUUUAAUGUCUGUCUGUGUGUGUAUGUGCCAGUACGUCUGUCAGUGUGAUUGCGGGUUGGACGUAAUUGGGGGGUGAGGCAGGGACAGGGCCCACGGGGCCCAAGAAAUGCAUUGCCCACGGUCCUAAUCAUAUUAUAGACGGCCCUGGGUGUGAGAGUGCCGUGUGUGAGUGAUGGGUGUGAGAGUGCUGUGUGAG